UACUCAUCUCUAUGCUACGUUGAGUAGGUCAUUUAAACUCUAAAAGUAGGUUCAGCUACUCUAUUAUCUACAUUUUUAGAUAAAUCACUUGUCCUCUUUCAGGACCAUGUGAAAAUACAACAAUAAAAUAAAAACUUUUUGUAGAAAGGGGGAUGCCCAAUGGUCAGCCAUGUGGCACUGCUGACCAUUUAAUUCUAGAGUAACCAUCAGACCACUGUCUCUCAGAAGCUGCCGACUAUGUUAAUAUCCACAUAUGGGGGGGGGAUGUAAUGACCCUCCCUGUGUUAUCCUUAAAAUGUUCUGCAGUAUCUUAUAAAGAAUUAGUAAAUCUUUUCUUCAGAGUCUUUCAAUAAUAAUCUUUGUGCUUGACUCAGUUCCAUUUCUUCAUUUUCUAGAUAACCAGAAUACACAGUGGGAGUGGUUACUGAAAGUCAUGGUAUUCUGGAUGACCACUUUAGCCCUGCAGGACGGAGGACAGAUGUACAAUGGUUUUGCCACAUGAAGGCAAUAGUGAUGAAACACAGACAAUUCCCCUGAAGAGAGAAAGGCGGUAGGCUGUAGGCCUGUGUGGAGACAGGAGGACUCCUAUGUAGAGCAGAAUGUUGAGGAGCUUGUGUCUCUACCAGCUUCCCAGUGCUUCAUGAAUGCUCUUAAUCUCUGGCAAACCAUAACGCAGAGAUGUUAAGCAACUUGCUUUGGGUUAAACUGCCAAAUAGGGCAGGUGUGAUAUCUGAACCCACGCGGCCUGUCCACACAGCGAGGAUUCUCAGUUUUUACUCAUCCUGUCUUUCAGCAAGAAGCCAGGACCGGGUCCCAGCUUCACCACUGAUAGCUGUCUGUGCUUGUUUUCUCAACUGGGAUCAACUUGGCUUUCCAGCUGCCUACCUCAUAGUCUGUGCUCAAUAAAGACCCGUACAAAGUCAACUCCGGUGAAGCAAACCUGGGGAAUCACUCAGAAAUUAAAAUUGCUACAUGCUAACUCAGUGUUAUAGCUCUACUGUGAUAAUAUUUAUCAUAUAGAGUUUGAGAUCAGCUCCAGUUUAAAAUGAAACCAAACAAAGUGUUCAACCCCAAACCAAAUCUGGCUGUCAGCCAUCCCAGAUGACCUUUGUUCUAGACAUGACAGGCUUCCAUGGAGGCCAUCUUUUUACAUCAUCUGGGACGAGAACUGGCAUUUCUCAAGGCAAACAUAACUGGUGGGCAGGAAUCUAUCAGUUGUUUUGUUAAGACAUUGAAUUCAUUGUCACAACUACAGUCCGUGUUUUUAGAUGGAAAGAAUCGAGCAAUAGCCAGCAAAGUCCUAGAUUACAGGGAAAACAAUGUCUGGAUUAAAAUCGUAUUCCUACUUGAAGCUGUACAAUGACGUCACUAGGCAUCUCAGUUCAGAUCCUGCGUGGGUUUUCUCUGUAUUUUUUUUAAGGCAUGGUUUCAAGUAGCCCAGGCUGUGUGGCCAAGAAUAGCCUUGGAUUCCUACCCUUCUGCCUCUCCCUCCUAAGUGUCCGGGUCACAGGCAUUCCACCACACACCACACCGCCAUGCUACAGCAGCGAAGCUCGUCCCGGGGUAGAAGGGUGAACGUCGCCCUUUUCGUUUAUACUUUUCCUUCCUAUUUCAUCUAUGACUUGAACUUUUAUAAUGGAGAUAGGGUGUUUUUUUCUAAUUCCUAGGUUAUUGCUUCUUAAAAUAUAUGAACAUGUAAUACUUCAUCUCCCUAUCCCUGCACACUGUUCUGAAGAUAUUAUAUAUAAAGAGGCAGAUGUGCCCAAACAAGCCAGGAGGCCUGGUCUCUAGCCCACUUCUAGCCAGGCCAGCCCCUAAUUGCUUAGCUGGUGUGUGUGUGUGUGUGUGUGUGUGUGUGUGUGUGUGUACGCGCGCGCACAUGCACAUGUAUGUAUUCUUACAAAUUUAGCUAACAAUAUCUCCAGCUAGUCACUUGGGUCACAAGCUGCUUUCUAUCUAGUUUGGGAUACAGGCAGCCCUAUCUAUGAAAGAUAAGGACAUUUCAGUUCAAUGUACUACAAUCUGAAAAACAAAAUGUCUGAGUGAUGACCACAAGAGACAAGAUUGCUGAACAAAUUCCAAGGAUUCCUCUUGUUAAAAAUAUGAAAACUUUUAAUGGGCUUCUUUUCCUUACAGAAUAAUAAAAAGAGCUACACUGUUUUCUAAAAUAUAAAAGACAUAUAUUAUGAACUGAAGCAUCAAUUUUUGUGAUCAAUUUAACUGCUCAUAAAUGAACUGUGCGAUUGUGUUGCCCGGCAACCAUAUUGACAGAGCUCUACACGUCUGCAGUUAGAGGCCGAAUGGCACUGUGGACAGUCCUUGAAGAGACAGCAGACAUUACUGAGAGGCAAUAUUCCUUUUCAGAAAGAAUAACAAUCGUUUGCACGGCCAUCAAAGUCAGGCUUUCUAGUUUGCGUCUCUGAUGCCGGCAAUAUGGAGAGGAAGCGGUUUGAUUUAGCUUGCAGGUUACGGCCCAUCAUUGGAGAAAGCCGCAGCAAGAACCUGAGGCGUGAGCUUAAGGCAGACUCUGAUGAAGGAAUACUUCCUACUGGCUUCUUCCUCGUGCUCACGCUCAGCAAACUUUCUUGUACAACCUAGAACCUCCUGCCCAGGGGUGGCACUGCCCACAGUGGGCAGGAUUCUCCUACUUCAAUUAACAGUCAAGAAAAUGCCUCAUAAGUGGGCCCACGGGCUAAACUGACACAGGCAACUCCUCAGCUGAGGCUCCUUCUCCCCUGCUGUGUCGAGUGAGCGAAGAAGAGAAGCCAGCACAGCAGGUGUCGCCCAGGCCCUGAGUUGUGUUCUAUCUCUAGACCAGAACAGACUUCUCUAUUCCCUUCCUCGGUCUUUAACAGGACCUCAUCACAGAAGGUGAGGGUCUGAACUACUCGCAGCUUGGUAUUUCAAAACCUGGAUGCAGUAUAGCAACUUCUGCCGUUGCACUGCGGCAGGGGCCUGCGAACUAUGCUUGGACAAGGGGACAGAUCGCCAGUGUUUUCACUGAAGACCGAUUCACACACCCCCUCCCCCCGGGCACUUAGAUCCAGAACCUGUAAGUUGCCCAAGAGAAAAACUCUCAUACCUCAUCCUGCAGGAGGGUCUUGCUGUAUUCCAGGUGAUGUCGCUCUAAAAUGGAAGUCCCAUGAAGCUUUGCAAGUGGAGACGUGGACCUAGGACGAAAAGGAUACGGCACAGAUCUUCCGUUUAGAGAUCACACGGAAAUCCACCCACACAGCACCUUCGCUCUUCUGGAGUUCCCGUUCAUGUCUCAUUUCUUUCCCCACUCAAUGUCUAUGAAAAUAACCAAAUGCAAACUAUUGGAAAAGAUUAUUUUUUAAUUUAGAAGGUACUAGCAUACAUUUGAAAUUAAGAUCCUCCAUUUGUUAAAACCUACAAGACCAUUCUCUGCAAGUGAAGACCCCACUCCUCAAAAACAUUGUUCUUCUGCCACCUGUGCCGGGAGGGGAAGAUACGGUGAAUACAGAAAGGUAAAAGGCAGUCGAGCAAUGCAGGCCACGCCUUUAAUCCCAGCACUCUGGACACAGAAGCAGGUGGAUCUCUGCGAGUUUGAAGCUAGCCUCAUCUACA